rnacentral:lncRNA from 1 species
GGAUUGGUGUGAGUGGACAUGCUUCAAGAAUUUGAUCAGCCAGAAAGAUGAUGAUGGUAUUCAAAAGGAGGAUAGAAAGUAGCUUAGAUCUAGGUACCUUGAUCUUCAAUGACUUUUGCCACCAUCCCACAGAUGUUCAAAGGUAAAUAAAAAGAUACAAUGCUGGCUACGAUGAAAAAAUGUAGUGCUAGGCUAUAGUAAGGGUUUAAUAUUGGGCAAU